AGAGUUUGAUCCUGGCUCAGAACGAACGCUGGCGGCAGGCCUAAUACAUGCAAGUCGAGCGCGCCCUUCGGGGUGAGCGGCGGACGGGUUAGUAACGCGUGGGAACGUGCCCUUCUCUAAGGAAUAGCCACUGGAAACGGUGAGUAAUACCUUAUACGCCCCCCAAUCAAAUUCCAUUUGGUUGACGGAAAUUCUGUUGGAUGCCGGAUGGCAUUUGAUGGGGGGGAAAGAUUUAUCGGAGAAGGAUCGGCCCGCGUUAGAUUAGAUAGUUGGUGGGGUAAUGGCCUACCAAGUCUACGAUCUAUAGCUGGUUUUAGAGGAUGAUCAGCAACACUGGGACUGAGACACGGCCCAGACUCCUACGGGAGGCAGCAGUAGGGAAUCUUGGACAAUGGGCGCAAGCCUGAUCCAGCCAUGCCGCGUGAGUGAAGAAGGCCUUAGGGUCGUAAAGCUCUUUCGCCUGUGAUGAUAAUGACAGUAGCAGGUAAAGAAACCCCGGCUAACUCCGUGCCAGCAGCCGCGGUAAUACGGAGGGGGUUAGCGUUGUUCGGAAUUACUGGGCGUAAAGCGCGCGUAGGCGGAUUGGAAAGUUAGAGGUGAAAUCCCGGGGCUCAACCCCGGAACGGCCUUUAAAACUCCCAGUCUAGAGUUCGAGAGAGGUGAGUGGAAUUCCAAGUGUAGAGGUGAAAUUCGUAGAUAUUUGGAGGAACACCAGUGGCGAAAGCGGCUCACUGGCUCGAUACUGACGCUGAGGUGCGAAAGUGUGGGGAGCAAACAGGAUUAGAUACCCUGGUAGUCCACACCGUAAACGAUGAAUGCCAGUCGUCGGAUAGUAUACUAUUCGGUGACACACCUAACGGAUUAAGCAUUCCGCCUGGGGAGUACGGUCGCAAGAUUAAAACUUAAAGGAAUUGACGG
rnacentral:rRNA from 1 species